UACCCCUGCCCCUAUGUGUAACAUAAGGCAUCCACCCCUAUAUCAGUGUAAGAUAAGGUUUAUGCCCCUGCCCCUAUAUGUAACAUAAGGCGUCCACCCCUAUAUCAGUGUAAGAUAAAGUUUAUACCCCUGCCCCUAUUUGUAACAUAAGGUGCUCACCCCUAUAUCAGUGUAAGGUAAAGUUUAUACCGCUGCCCCUAUGUCUAACACAAGCCAAGGCAUUCACCUUUAUAUCAGUGUAAGAUAAGGUUUAUACCCCUGCCCCUAUGUGUAACAUAAGGCAUUCACCCCCAUAUCAGUGUAAGAUAAGGUUUAUGCCCCUGCCCCUAUAUGUAACAUAAGGCAUCCACCCCUAUAUCAGUGUAAGAUAAGGUUUAUACCCCUGCCCCUAUAUGUAACAUAAGGCAUUCACCCCUAUAUCAGUGUAAGAUAAGGUUUAUGCCCCUGCCCCUAUAUGUAACAUAAGGCAUCCACCCCUAUAUCAGUGUAAGAUAAGGUUUAUACCCCUGCCCCUAUAUGUAACAUAAGGCAUUCACCCCUAUAUCAGUGUAAGAUAAGGUUUAUACCCCUGCCCCUAUGUGUAACAUCAGGCAUGCAUCCACCCCUAUAUCAGUGUAAGGUGACGUUUAUACCCCUGCCCCUAUAUGUAACAUAAGGCAUUCACCACUAUAUCAGUGUAAGAUAAGGUUUAUACCCCUGCCCCUAUGUUUACCAUAAGGAAUCCACCCCUAUACCAGUGUAAGAUAAGGUUUAUACCCCUGCCCCUAUGUGUAACAUAAGGUGCUCACCCCUAUAUCAGUGUAAGGUAAGGUUUAUACACCUGCCCCUAUGUGUAACAUAAGCCAAGGCAUUCACCCCUAUAUCAGUGUAAGAUAAGGUUUAUUCCCCUGCCCCUAUGUGUAACAUAAGGCAUCCACCCCUAUAUCAGUGUAAGAUAAGGUUUAUACCCCUGCCCCUAUAUGUAACAUAAGGAAUCCACCCCUAUAUCAGUGUAAGAUAAGGUUUAUACCCCUGCCCCUAUGUGUAACAUAAGGAAUCCACCCCUAUACCAGUGUAAGAUAAGAUUUAUACCCCUGCCCCUAUGUGUAACAUAAGGCAUCCACCCCUAUAUCAGUGUAAGAUAAGGUUUAUGCCCCUGCCCCUAUAUGUAACAUAAGGCGUCCACCCUAUAUCAGUGUAAGAUAAAGUUUAUACCCCUGCCCCUAUUUGUAACAUAAGGUGCUCACCCCUAUAUCAGUGUAAGGUAAAGUUUAUACCGCUGCCCCUAUGUGUAACACAAGCCAAGGCAUUCACCUCUAUAUCAGUGUAAGAUAAGGUUUAUACCCCUGCCCCUAUGUGUAACAUAAGGCAUUCACCCCCAUAUCAGUGUAAGAUAAGGUUUAUGCCCCUGCCCCUAUAUGUAACAUAAGGCAUCCACCCCUAUAUCAGUGUAAGAUAAGGUUUAUACCCCUGC
rnacentral:lncRNA from 1 species